CCUACGGGUGGCAGCAGUGAGGAAUAUUGGUCAAUGGACGAGAGUCUGAACCAGCCAAGUAGCGUGAAGGAUGACUGCCCUAUGGGUUGUAAACUUCUUUUAUAUGGGAAUAAAAUGUUCCACGUGUGGGAUUUUGUAUGUACCAUAUGAAUAAGGAUCGGCUAACUCCGUGCCAGCAGCCGCGGUAAUACGGAGGGUCCGAGCGUUAUCCGGAUUUAUUGGGGUUAAAGGGAGCGUAGGUGGAUUGUUAAGUCAGUUGUGAAAGUUUGCGGCUCAACCGUAAAAUUGCAGUUGAAACUGGCAGUCUAGAGUAUAGUAGAGGUGGGUGGAAUUCGUGGUGUAGCGGUGAAAUGCUUAGAGAUCAAGAAGAACUCUGAUUGCGAAGGCAGUUCACUGGACUGCAACUGACACUGAGGCUCGAAAGUGUGGGUAUCAAACAGGAUUAGAUACCCUUGUAGUC
rnacentral:rRNA from 1 species